rnacentral:tRNA from 1 species
GGAAGUGGAUAGAUCUCUGGUGGGUCUCCUGGACUUCAAAUCCAGUGGCGGGUGUAGUGCAUCCGCGGCGGGUUCGAUUCCCGUGCACUUCCGCCA